rnacentral:rRNA from 1 species
GACGAACGCUGGCGGCGUGCUUAACACAUGCAAGUCGAACGGAAAGGCCCUGCUUUUGUGGGCUGCUCGAGUGGCGAACGGGUGAGUAACACGUGAGUAACCUGCCCUUGACUUUGGGAUAACUUCAUGAAACUGGGUCUAAUACCGGAUAGGAUCUCCUGCUUCUUGGUGGGGGUUGGAAGGUUUCGGCGGUUGGGGAUGGACUCGCGGCUUAUCAGCUUGUUGGUGGGGUAGUGGCUUACCAAGGCUUUGACGGGUAGCCGGCCUGAGAGGGUGACCGGCCACAUUGGGACUGAGAUACGGCCCAGCCUCCUACGGGAGGCAGCAGUGGGGAAUAUUGCACUAUGGGCGGAAGCCUGAUGCAGCAACGCCGCGUGCGGGAUGACGGCCUUCGGGUUGUAAACCGCUUUCGCCUGUGACGAAGCGUGAGUGACGGUAAUGGGUAAAGAAGCACCGGCUAACUACGUG